AGCUAAUCGUCUGGAACUUGCAUCUGUACAUGUGAUACCGAAUGUCAACAUUUCUAGAGCACGUUGACAUGUAUGAGUUUAGAGUUACGUUUGUUUAUUUCAAGUCAAUCUUAACGUUUGGAAUAGUAUUCGGUUUAGAGUGUUUCCGGAUAAAAUCUUUAUAUGGUCAAAUCCGGGCAGAAGAUUGGUACGAACUUUGAAUUGUAACUGCAUCUUUUCCAAAGGAAAUGGAGUACGUUUUGGAUUUUCAAUUGUGUUUACAUGUGAUUGUUACGUUGGAUUAUAUUCGCUGGCAUCACGUUCCCUUCUUGGAGAGUGUGUUAUGUUGUGGAUAACGGUGAAAGAGGGAUAACUCUAAACCAGAAACGCUACUUCGCCACACAUUAAGCAGCGCGGGAACUGCCAUGAGGUGAUGUAGGACCAGCGCCGACCAGACAUACGAUCCACGGCAGUAGCAAUACGGCGUUUGGAAGGAAAUUGUAGGAUUCAUUUUCUUUGAUUCGAAAUAAAUGUGGAAGCAAACACAGAAGUUUGG